ensembl:lncRNA
GGAGAAACAAAGCUUGUUUAGAUUGCUUAGCUUUUAUGGCAUUUGCUGACAAAACAGACGUGCAGCUGACUGUGCUCUUGAGAGAUGGGGCGGAAUGGAGAAAAGUAACAGCAGAAAUGUUAGGAAUGGAAGUUAAAGGUUGAGAAUUCAAGAGGACUGCAGAUUCACAGUUCCAGGUUUUCGCUUGUAAUGGCCUACAGCACUACUGCAGGCUUCCUGAUGGAGAAACAAAUUUGUGCCAGCUUGCUGAAUAACCUCCGUAAUGUUCAGCCGAUCAGAACUUCUCCAUCUGUGUGUCCAUCCAUCCAAAGAACCAGAUGCUCUGAAAAACACUUCAUCCACCCCUCCUGAUGCAUCCAUAUCUGAAAUAUGUUGCUACCAUAACUGCAGUUUUCAGCCCUACAAGCAAAGCCAGCUACUGACCUAUCUGGAGCUCUCAAUUGUUUAGUCACCUGCUCAGAGAAAAUGAAAUCACUAACUGGGAGCAUCAAUAAUAAAAACUCAUAGAAAGAAACUAUUUCACCAAGGCCUAAGUCCAGACAAUAAGUGGAUUUCACCAGGAUGGGAAGCUAAGGUAUGAACAGCUGCUGCAGAGAGAAUCAAGAGCAAAACUCAAUGAGAUUCUUAUGGCAGCAGAAAAGAUAUCAGGAGUGGCCACAACACUACACAGCACUGUUCCGCAGCUACUUGUUAAUGCUUUUAUGCUGUGUUGAUAUAAAUAGGCACAUAGAAUCUAACAGAAAUGCUCAAGUAGUAAAUCUGCAAUUCUGUCAGGAGCUUAUUCUCCAUCUUAAACUUGACCUUUCCUCAAAGCUUCCAUCUAGAAACUGCAACAUAAUUGUUUUGUAUCCAGAACUGAUGAAGAAUUUGGAUUCCAGUGCAAAACAGACAUGCAGAUA